rnacentral:rRNA from 1 species
AACGAACGCUGGCGGCAGGCCUAACACAUGCAAGUCGAGCGAGGACUUCGGUCCUAGCGGCGGACGGGUGAGUAACGCGUGGGAACGUGCCCCUUGGUACGGAAUAGCCCCGGGAAACUGGGAGUAAUACCGUAUGAGCUCUACGGAGGAAAGAUUUAUCGCCAAGGGAUCGGCCUGCGUUGGAUUAGGUAGUUGGUGGGGUAAUGGCCUACCAAGCCGACGAUCCAUAGCUGGUUUGAGAGGAUGAUCAGCCACACUGGGACUGAGACACGGCCCAGACUCCUACGGGAGGCAGCAGUGGGGAAUCUUAGACAAUGGGCGCAAGCCUGAUCUAGCCAUGCCGCGUGAGCGAUGAAGGCCUUAGGGUUGUAAAGCUCUUUCAGCUGGGAAGAUAAUGACUGUACCAGCAGAAGAAGCCCCGGCUAACUCCGUGCCAGCCGCCGCAGUAAAAC